AUCUCGGCUACAGAAAAAUGUU
rnacentral:miRNA from 1 species